GGGGCGGGCGCCUGGCGGAGGGCAGGGGACCGCCACGCGCUCCGGGACACCUCUGCAGUGACUGAGAACCGACCUGGCAAUCCGCGGCCCGGGUGGGCGGAGUCUUGUGUCUGCCGCUGACCAGGCAGACGCUCCCCUGUGGUGGUAAGAUGGCGCCCACCAACUCAUCUUCAGAUCCCAUGAAUCCCAGGAGACAUCCUGAGGGCAACUCUUAUUGGACUAGUUUUGGAUCACAUGCCAAUCCCGCAGCAACCAAUCAGCGGGUUAAGCAGCAUUUCUGUUGUCCGGAGCUGAAAGCGGCCUCCUUGACACCAGGACUCAGAGCUGGGAUCAGCGUGAACUACGAGUGACAGGGGAACCGGACCGGCUGCUCCAGCUUCCCACGGGCCCUCAGCCAGCCCUGUGGCUUGUCUUACUGAAGACACAUCGGUCAGUUUCUGCUGCAAAAAAACUGCUUUUUCCUUCACUUCUAGGUCAUGAAGGGAAACCUGUUUCCUAAAUAACUUUCUUACCCUGGUUUAAAUAAGCCUCCCACAAAAUGGCCAGAGACUGACAUUUCCUUUCUACACAGUCAAAAAAGAAAGCUACCCACCCGACUGUCCAUCAAUAGAGGGUAAUUAAGUUCAUUCAGCUACAGCCAUUUGAUAGCUGUGUGUGCAGCCGCUAAAUUGAUGCUGACAGAUGAUGCUUAAAGACACUGGAGAUGCUUUGUAUGUUACUAUUAAAUGAAAGAAAAAAACACAGGUUACUAAACUCUAUGUAUGCAGUAUGAUCAUAUAUAUAUUUUUUAAUAUGCACGCACAUAAAGUAAGACUGGAAGGAAACACUACAGCGUUUGGGUGGUGGAAUUUGGGGUAAUAUUUAUUGUUAACUUUAUACUUCUGCAUAUUUUUCAAGUUUUUUACA